rnacentral:rRNA from 1 species
AACGAACGCUGGCGGCAGGCUUAACACAUGCAAGUCGAGCGCCCCGCAAGGGGAGCGGCAGACGGGUGAGUAACGCGUGGGAAUCUACCCAUCCCUACGGAAUAACGCAUGGAAACGUGUGCUAAUACCGUAUACGUCCUUCGGGAGAAAGAUUUAUCGGAGAUGGAUGAGCCCGCGUUGGAUUAGCUAGUUGGUGGGGUAAAGGCCUACCAAGGCGACGAUCCAUAGCUGGUCUGAGAGGAUGAUCAGCCACACUGGGACUGAGACACGGCCCAGACUCCUACGGGAGGCAGCAGUGGGGAAUAUUGGACAAUGGGCGCAAGCCUGAUCCAGUCAUGCCGCGUGAGUGAUGAAGGCCCUAGGGUUGUAAAGCUCUUUCACCGGUGAAGAUAAUGACGGUAACCGGAGAUGAAGCCCCGGCUAACUUCGUGCCAGCAGCCGCCGUAAAAC